UAGGGAAUUUUCGGCAAUGGGGGCAACCCUGACCGAGCAACGCCGCGUGAGUGAUGAAGGUCGCAAGAUUGUAAAACUCUGUUGUAAAGGAAGAACACUAAGGAUAGAAUCCUUAGUUGACGGUACUUUACCAGAAAGCCACGGCUAACUACGUGCCAGCAGCCGCGGUAAUACGUAGGUGGCAAGCGUUAUCCGGAAUUAUUGGGCGUAAAGGGUGCGCAGGUGGUUAAAUAAGUUUGAGGUCAAAGUGCGGGGCUUAACUCCGUAUCGCCUUGAAAACUGUUUAACUAGAGUGCAGAAGAGGGCAAUGGAAUUCCAUGUGUAGCGGUAAAAUGCGUAGAUAUAUGGAGGAACACCAGUGGCGAAAGCGAUUGCCUGGUCUGUAACUGACACUCAUGCACGAAAGCGUGGGGAGCAAAUA
rnacentral:rRNA from 1 species